AGAUUGGCCCAACAUAUCUCACAUCCCUAAUAUAUGUAAUAGGGGAACAUGAUCAGGUUCCUCGUGAGAAAGCUGUACAUAAACAGUUUCAUCACUUUAACAAGGUACGAGUUAUGCUGAAUGUGAACAAUGCUAUGUUUCCAUGAAUAUGAUCCUGAAGUGGCUGAUGAGUGUCCUGAAUUUACAUUUAGAUCCAUCUAUAUUUAUCACAACAAGUGGAAGAGAACCCACCAGUUCAGCAUAAAACAAAAGAAUGCAGAUAGUUUAGUGUGUAGAAGAAAAUGCCUACUGGAGCUUGCACAAGAGAUCCCUUCGUGUUUGUUAUUCAUUUUGGUUGCACAUCAUCAAAAGAUACUAUCAUAUAUUUAGUUAUUGUAGAGUUUCUCUUUGCCUGGGAUUGAAAUUAUGUAACAUAAACAAUUGUUUUUG
rnacentral:misc_RNA from 1 species